rnacentral:rRNA from 1 species
UACGGGGGGGGCAAGCGUUGUUCGGAAUUACUGGGCGUAAAGGGCUUGUAGGUGGCCAACUAAGUCAGACGUGAAAUCCCCUCGGCUUAACCGGGGAACUGCGUCUGAUACUGGAUGGCUAGAGUGUGGGAGAGGGAUGCGGAAUUCCAGGUGUAGCGGUGAAAUGCGUAGAUAUCUGGAGGAACACCGGUGGCGAAGGCGGCAUCCUGGACCGACACUGACGCUGAGGAGCGAAAGCCAGGGGAGCAAACGGG